UCGCAAUCCGCCAACCGGUGAAGCCGGGGCCGCGGAAGGUUGAUCAACCCAUCGUAGCCCUGGGAACCGGGGCGAAAGGUGCGCG
rfam:Rubrivivax gelatinosus IL144 DNA, complete genome.